rnacentral:rRNA from 1 species
AAGCGGUGGAGCAUGUGGUUUAAUUUGAAGCAACGCGAAGAACCUUACCAGGUCUUGACAUCCUUAGACAUCUUUAGAGACAGAGCUUUUCCCUUCGGGGGCAUAAGUGACAGGUGGUGCAUGGUUGUUGUCAGCUCGUGUCGUGAGAUGUUGGGUUAAGUCCCGCAACGAGCGCAACCCUUGUCCUUUAGUAGCCAGCAUUCAGUUGGGCACUUUAAGGAGACUGCCGGUGACAAACCGGAAAAAGGUGGGGAUGAUCGUCAAAUCAUCAUGCCCCUUAUGACCUGGGCUACACACGUGCUCCAAUGGAUAGAACAAAGGGCAGCGAAGCCGCGAGGUCAAGCAAAUCCCAUAAAUCUAUUCUCAGUUCGGAUUGCAGGCUGCAACUCGCCUGCAUGAAGCCGGAAUCGCUAGUA